AACAACUCAAGUCAUGCUCUUUAUUUCAUUUUAUACUUCCUGCGAAGUCGUUCUGACUUCCACCUACUGAGGAUAAUAUGAAUUUUAGACUACCCAUGUGGAAUGAUCAAUUCAAUUUACGAUAUAACAACACAUUUAUGGGUUGUCAAACUAUCACACGACCUAUGACCACGGUCGUGCCAACCACAGUGGUCCUACAUGUUAAUUAUAGCCACAAUCGUACUUCACCAAAGGUGAUCCCUACGAUCAUAUCGCAUCACCACUCUCGUCAGAGGGUACGCCCCCAUCCAUAGGGAGCGAUCCUCUCACUUCUUUUCUGACUAGAUGGGGGAGAAAUAAAAACUCGUCAAAGAUAAAAAGCCUAAUGAAACAUUUUAUGAAUCAUGCAUGCUGAUACCGAUACAUAUUUCUCAUGCUUAAAUAUAACUUUAUGCUUUGUUACUUCACCAUCGUAC
rnacentral:lncRNA from 1 species